rnacentral:lncRNA from 1 species
ACCCAUUACAUUCUACGGGAAGUCUGUGUUAGUGUAGUAGUAAUCUGUUAAGAGGAUGAUUACCAUGGCUGUCAGAUGAUGUCUAGUUCUAUCAAUAUGCUCUAAUUAAACGGUUUGCAGCUAAAUUGGAGUGAGGAUAUACGUCUCUCACAGGCAUCAAAAUAAAAGAUGAACAACCGAUUUUUCGAUUUGUAAUUAAUUUGUUAAAAAUAACUAUUAUCCCCGCUUAAAUGUAUAACGUUGUUGAUUUUUGAGAUUAAUUGUGUUUGACUAUUCGUCUUAAUAAAAUAUACUUCAUCCGUCUCAAAUUACUUGUCUUUCUAUCAUUCAAAAUUUGUCCGAUAAUACUUGUCACUCCCAAGUACUACAUGUCCCAUCAAUCACAUCACAUUCAAAUUUCUUCCUAUUCUAUCCCUCAACUAAUCUUCUAUCCUUAACCAUAAAUUAUUUUUUAAGAGUAUUAUAGCGUUUUGUUCCAAACCUUAGAAUAUGGCAAACAACCUUAAAAGACAAGUAAUUUAGAACGGUGGAAGAUCUUAUUGUAUAUAUUUUGUUGUUACUUAUUUUAUAUUAUUAAAGGUAUUGUAAGCAUUGCACAUGUUUUUUAUAUUUAUAAAGUUUUUUAAUAAGAGGAAUUAUUAAACGUUAUAUAUAAAAGUAGUGGUGUCAUAUAUAUAUAUAUAUAUAUAUAUAUAUAUAUAUAUAUAUAUAUAUAUAUAUAAAAUUGAACAGCGUACUAUCUCUCUUGACUAGUCACAUGUUGGGGCAGAUAUUUCCCCAUUGAAGAAAACGGAUUAGAUGGCCUCGUAUAAUGGCAUACUACUCUCUGUCAAAGGGGGAAAAAACACUUCUGGGUGAAUGUGGGACGGAGGGUGUAUAUUUGUUAGAGUAUGUCAUACAGUGGCGGGCCCAGGAUUUAGAGGUUAGGUAUUCGAAAUAGGUAGGGGUAAAACAAAAUUCUUUUUACUUCCAGAAGUCCAAUAAUUAAUUGGUAUAAUAUUACACAUUACUAAUUGUAUAAUAUUAUAGCAUAUAGAACACAAAAUUGGCCAUAACUUUAUAAAUUGAUAGAAUUGAUCAUAAGUCCAAAUUCUUUAACAUAUAUAAGUACUAAUUGUUCGACAUAUGAAAGUGGCAACAUAUAUAACAUGUAAAGGAUAGAAAAUGGUAAAAUGAUAAAAAAAACUUACAAUUUAGAGGAGAACUUUUCAAUGCUUGAUAUUUUAAAAAUGAGUGAUGAUGUCCUCAUCCUUUAACUUGUACAAAAAAUUCUCUUCCAAUAAAUGCAGAUUGUUGCUCAUCUUGCUUCUUGUUUUUAUAUAGUUCAUCGAAGAAAACACCCUCUCUAAAUUCUCUAAGUUCCUAACAACAGCUCAUAUAUAGCCUCAUACUAUCAUCAUAUAUAUAAAUUUAACACACUGAAAAUUAAAUAUUAUGGUUCUAAGUUAUCUAAAUUCCUAAUAUUUACAGCUUUAUACUAUCAAUCUAUCAAUAAAUAUACACUUAACAGUUAACACUCUGAAAAAUAAAGAAGACAGGAACUGAGGAAGUUGAAUCCUUCGGUGCUAGUGAACUAUUGAACUACUAUAGAACAAAUCAAUGAAACAAGCCGUCGCCACCAGAAAACAUAACUACUAUUGAACUACCUAGAACAAAUCAAUGCAAUGAAUCAAUGAAUCAAGCCCCUCACGCAAUCCAUGCCAGGCCGGCGAGCCGUGGUCGUUCGGCCGCCGCAUCGCGUACCUGUGUGGUGGCCUGGCGGACUGGCGGCCUGCACGCCUGGCCGAGCCCCAACGCCGCACGGCCGCAGCCGUCGACGCGCCGCCUGCACGCCUCGGCGCCUCCUGCCGCCGACGCAGCCGCGCACGCCGCAGCCGGAAGCCUCCGCCGCAGCCGCCGACGAGCACGCUGCAGACUAGACUGCAGUCGCCGCCGCCCGACGCGCCGCCUAGGCUCCUACCCGCCUUGGCGCCGCCUUCCGCCGACGCAGCCGGAAGUCGCCGCCGCCGCACUGCCGCACGUCCUCGCCGCCACACCGCGCACGUCCUCGGUCCUCUGGUUAGGAUUUGGCCGAUUUGGGAAUUAGGGCUUUGGUUUGCUGUGCCUAGGCGAGGAGGGGAAAUGAACUAGUUGUGGCCCAAACUGAUUGUGGGCUGAGAUGAAAGGGGAGGGAAGUGGGAAAUUUAGGCCCAAUAGAGAAGAAACGAUGAAACAGGGCCCAAAAUGAGUAGUUUUAGCCUUUUUCUUUAAUUUCUUAAUACAUAUACGAGGUAUAGAGUACAUAUACUUAUUUUUUAUCCAAAAAUCUUGGGUAUACGUCUGAAUACCCUUGAAUCAAUAGUGGGCCCGCCCCUG